GGCAGGUUGAAACGAGACGCUGCAAAAGGAAAAUAGGAGAAGUUUCACCGGUAUUGCAAUUCCAAGAUGAGGAAGUAGUACAAGGAUCGGAAAAGUCUCAUCUAUAAUACGAUAUACAAAUAAUAUGAAACAGAUGAAGAAAGAUGGGCCCAUAUACCAAAUGACAUGCCGAUAGCUAAGUGGCAUGCACUUGUGGCAGAAUUUAGAAAAGAUGAGUGGCAGAUGAAUCGAGAAACUGGAGAGAUAGCCCCAUCGAGUGUUGUAUGGAGACAUACACAUGGCACGAUGAAAAUACCAUCCGGGUAUCAUGACAAUGCAUCACAAGAGGUCAUUAGUUGCAGGAUAUAUAGUUUCAGAUGGAUCUGAUUUGGAGUUUAAGUAAUGGAGUGAUUUUACAGGCAUUGCAUGUUAUUUACGGUUUGUCCUAGGGAGUGUAUGGCCAUCACGUAUCCGAUCCAGAUGCUAAGUUCGGGGCAUGAUAGUUGUAUCUAUGAUAGUCUGAAAAUUUUUGCAAUUGAUGCAUUGGAUUUUGCUGCAAUGGCAAAAACAGCUGGAA